GGUGCAGGUGGAGAACAAAGGCAUUAGGGGGGGCACUGGUUCCCCUGGAGUUAUAAACAGUUGUGAUCUGGGUACUGAAGAACUGAGCUCAGAUCCUCUGGAAGAAAAGCCCAGUACCUGCUUUGCACUGCAAUACAGCUUUAGAGGAGAUGAGGAGUAAAUCUCUCAACACUAGCAGAACUCUCCUGCAUAGGACUGCCACUCCCAGGACAGAGGUUCAGAAGAGUGAAAGAGGGAGGGUAAGGCAAGACAGAAGAGCUUAGGAGAGAGGCUGGUGGAGACAGAAGCAAAGAAAGGGAGCAGAGAAAACGAGAGAGAGCUGUUACUCUUUCAUUUGUUUUAAGAUAAAGGUGGGCUAUCUUCUGAUUUGUUUUAUUAAAAAAACAUUCACUAAACUUUUGAUGAAGUAUUUUGAAGGUCUCUUUGGUAGCUGAACUGUAGAUACAAUAGGAUCUGAUGAGAAAAACAGAAGAGUUUUCAAGAUGUUCUCAAAGAAGUUCCUGAUGCUGCAGAGACUGCCAUUUUUAGCAUACUUACCUGACUUUGUCACUGAGUACUUUGGCAAUGUAUUUCAUGGAAGGUGUGUUUGCUGUGGUUGAUGGUCUGGCUUAGCUUUC